GCUGGGCGCAGUGGCGCGUGCCUGUAGUCCCAGCUACUAGGGAGGCUGAGGCUGGAGGAUCGCUUGAGCCCAGGAGUUCUGGGCUGUAAUGCACUAUGCCGAUCGGGUGUCCACACUAAGUUUGGCAUCAAUAUGGUGACCUCCUGGGAGCGGAGAACCACCAGGUUGCCUAAGUGGGGAGGGUGGUGAACCGGCCCAGGUCGGAAAAGGAGCAGGUAAAAACUCCCAUGCUGAUCAGUAGUGGGAUCGCGCCUGUGAAUAGCCAAUGCACUCCAGCUUGGGCAACACAGCGAGACCCAGUCUGU
rnacentral:SRP_RNA from 1 species